rnacentral:lncRNA from 1 species
CCCAUGAGAUGGCAACACGCAUGCACAGCUUUUCUUAGCAACACUAAUUUGCCGUACGGUGUAUGGUGAAUUUUGUUCAGAUUUAUACUUCAAUUAUUCUGUUAAUAAACACACGUAGUGUGUUUCUGCUUAUUAUAAAUUAACCUGCAACCUUCAUAGGUUGAAGUGUUUGAUGUUACAGGUUAUAAUUAAUUGGAAGUAAGUAAUUUUUUUAGGGCUAAUAUUGACAAGAUGGCCUCGCCGCUAUCACCGGCGAAUUUUGCGGAUAUCGAUCGAGGGUCUAACGAGCGUCGGAGCUGGCGCUGCUACCGAUACGGUUGCUAGGCCUAGGCCAAGUAAUAAUAAACUGAAGGACAGUGUGACUGAUCUAUCUCCGAAAGAAUCUAGUGCUAGCGCGGCUAGCACAAGUUGUAACAAGAUGUUACAAAGCCUAAGGCUAAGAAACAUAAGUCUCGGCUUGUCGAGGAAGGCUCGGCCAUUCUUACAAUGUUGACUGAGAUUCGAGAGGGCCAACAAAGAUUUGGCUCGAGGUGGGGGACCUGGAGGAUUUCUGUUAUAACUGUGAGACUGAGGUCGCUGAUCCCCUUGAUAUUCCACAACCUAGCCUACCCGAAGAAAGGGUUGAUGAUAUGGAGAAGGAAUGCACUGUUAGUUUAUUCAAAGAUAUGGCUGGAAAACUUCUUAAUAAGGAAAGUUGUGGCAAAGGCAUAGACCAGGAUCUAGCUAAUAUUGUUAAUACCCUUUUUAGAGAGGGUACUAGUGAGGACAAGUGUACUGACCUAACAAGGAAAACUAGUAGGCCAGAGAAUUGCGAGGGCCUAUCUAAUGUCAGGGUCAACCAGCUGGUUUGGGAUAUAAUUAGACCUGAAAAACUGGUCUUGUAAAAGGAUCAACAUAUUUGACCUAUUUGUUAAAUGAGAUUGCAAAGCAUAAGGAUAGCCCUGAUCUCAUCAAAGACUCAUUGACCUGGGCAUUGAUGCUUUAGCCCUGCUGGGCAAUUCAAAUCGAAAUUUAAAUUUGAGAAGACGGAACUGUAUGAAAUCCGAUUUAAAGAAGGAUUAUUCUCAUCUUUGUUCACCAUCUGCCCCAUUUACUGAUAUGUUGUUUGGCGAUGAUGUCUCGAGGCGAGUUAAAGAUAUUCAGGAAAUAAACAGAGCCGGUAGCAGAAUUAGCACUACAACUACUGGUUUCAAGACCCCAUUCUACAAUACACAGAGAGGCAGAAUGAGAGGUCAUGGCUUUUUCAGAGGCCGCGGUAGGGGCAGAGGGAACUACCACUACCAUGAGUCAAAAAACUACUACAGGGGGAAGGUGAUCAAGUCUCACAAGCAAAAGUAGAGACUCAUCAUACAGAACCCCCAGAAAGAGAAAAAGAUUUCUUGGCUCAGUUGGCACUGGUAGGCAACUUGUCUAAGGAUGACUUGACUGAUAUCAUACACUGUGCCGUCUCAAGUGGCGGAGGAGAUGAACAGACAGCCUGCUUGAUGGUAAAUGAUUUUAAAAAGCGAUUGAAAUCAAACAAACCUGUUGCAAAAGUUAUGGAUGAUGUAGUUACCAAGCCAAAGAAGGGAAAAAAGAAAAAAAAUGAGCCUGAAGAAAAUAAAUAGAUAUCACAAAAGCAAAAAACAAAGCACAUCAACAUAGUGCGGCUUAGUGGAAUAUAUUAUGGUACACUGUUGAUUUGUGUUUUAAGCGCUCAGCGACCCCUUCUAUGCCACAAAUGAAAAACAAAUUAUUCAAAUAGAAUUUAAUAUUUAUUAUAAGAAGCUGUUUUCCUAGCUCAACGAUUACCAUUUACAUUCCUCUUAUCAUUUAAACGUUAAGAUUAAUAACAUGAGGAUGUAAUUGAAACACUUCAAGACUGCUUUGACUCCACAGACUGUCACAAAAAUAUAAUCAUUUCUUUACUAGAUCUUGACAAACUGUUAUACAAAGUUCCACAAAUGAAAAACAAAUUAUUCAGAUAGAAUUUAAUAUUUAUUAUAAGAAGCUGUUUUCCUAGCUCAACGAUUACCAUUUACAUUCCUCUUAUCAUUUAAACGUUAAGAUUAAUAACAUGAGGAUGUAAUUGAAACACUUCAAGACUGCUUUGACUCCACAGACUGUCACAAAAAUAUAAUCAUUUCUUUACUAGAUCUUGACAAACUGUUAUACAAAGUUCUAAUUAUACCCAUUGAUUUUUAAGAGUUAUUUAGGUCUGGGACCUCAAAAAUUUAAAUGACCCUCAAAUUUACACUCGGAUCUUCCCCAACACAUAAUAAUGUUUCCUUGUAACUUGGUUAAAUUUUUCCGCAAGUUUAAUAUAGGUCAGUUGACCCGUUUUUUUUAAAUAUCUGGUGUAGAAUGUUUGCCUUUAAAUCACUACUUUAUUUACAAAAUGUAAUCACCUCAUCAUACCUAACAAUCCCUGUAACUGCCAUUUAGAUCUGUGCAGCUGUUUUUGAGAUAUUUUGAACACAAGAAACACGCACGACCUUAAAAUGUAAAUGACCCUCAAGUUCACACCCUUAUUUGAAUCGUCACCAACACUUAAUAAAAUCUUCCUUGUAACUUGGUUAAACUUCCACCAAAAUUGUAUUUAUAUCAGUUGAUUAGUUGAUUUCUUCAUUGGGUUAUACCUAACACUCUGUGUUAUUUUCAAUUAUGUCUGCUUUUUGAGAUGUCGUAAAAGAAAAAUCACGAAAACACCAAAACGUCACACACACACACACACACACAAACGCAGACAAACUUACACGACUGAAAACAUAUAUCUCCUUGCGGGUA